AUCGAACGCUGGCGGCAGGCCUAAAACGUGCAAGUCGAGCGGUAGAGAGAAGCUUGCUUCUCUUGAGAGCGGCGGACGGGUGAGUAAUGCCUAGGAAUCUGCCUGGUAGUGGGGGAUAACGUUCGGAAACGGACGCUAAUACCGCAUACGUCCUACGGGAGAAAGCAGGGGACCUUCGGGCCUUGCGCUAUCAGGUGAGCCUAGGUCGGAUUAGCUAGUUGGUUGGGUAAUGGCUCACCAAGGCGACGAUCCGUAACUGGUCUGAGAGGAUGAUCAGUCACACUGGAACUGAGACACGGUCCAGACUCCUACGGGAGGCAGCAGUGGGGAAUAUUGGACAAUGGGCGAAAGCCUGAUCCAGCCAUGCCGCGUGUGUGAAGAAGGUCUUCGGAUUGUAAAGCACUUUAAGUUGGGAGGAAGGGCAGUAAAUUAAUACUUUGCUGUUUUGACGUUACCGACAGAAUAAGCACCGGCUAACUCUGUGCCAGCCGCCGCGGUAA
rnacentral:rRNA from 1 species